UGGGGAAUAUUGCGCAAUGGGCGAAAGCCUGACGCAGCGACGCCGCGUGAGGGAUGAAGGUUCUCGGAUCGUAAACCUCUGUCAGAAGGGAAGAAACCGCACUGUGCUAAUCAGCAGUGCCUUGACGGUACCUUCAAAGGAAGCACCGGCUAACUCCGUGCCAGCAGCCGCGGUAAUACGGAGGGUGCAAGCGUUAAUCGGAAUUACUGGGCGUAAAGCGCACGUAGGCUGCUUUGUAAGUCAGGGGUGAAAUCCCACGGCUCAACCGUGGAACUGCCUUUGAUACUGCUUAGCUUGAAUCCGGGAGAGGGUGGCGGAAUUCCAGGUGUAGGAGUGAAAUCCGUAGAUAUCUGGAGGAACAUCAGUGGCGAAGGCGGCCACCUGGACCGGUAUUGACGCUGAGGUGCGAAAGCGUGGGGAGCAAACAGG
rnacentral:rRNA from 1 species